GGCUCCUCGUAAAACUUAGAUGGGGAGUCGGACCUGCCCGGUGAAUUUUUAACGGCCGCGGUACUCCGACCGUGCAAAGGUAGCAUAAUCAUUUGCCUUAUAAUUGAAGGCUAGUAUGAAUGGUUUGACAAGAGUAUAGCUGUCUCUUUAUGAUUCNNUAGAACUUUACUUUUGGGUGAAGAGGCCCACCUACGAUUAAAAGACAAGAAGACCCUAUCGAGCUUUAAAGGAAUUAAUAGGAUGUUCGUUAAUGAGAUCAAAAAUCUUUCUAUUAAAAUUUUUAGUUGGGGCGACUGAGGAACAAAAAAAGCUUCCUUUAAAACUUAGUUAUUUAUAUAUAAUGAUCCAAAAGAUUUGAUUAAAAAAAUUAGUUACCGUAGGGAUAACAGCAUUAUCUUUUUUAAGAGUUCAUAUCGAAAAAAAGGUUUGUGACCUCGAUGUUGGACCAGAAUAUCCUAAAGAUGCAGAAGUCUUUAAGGGUUGGUCUGUUCGACCAUUAAAAUUCUACG
rnacentral:rRNA from 1 species